GGAAACAGAACUCGAGUGGUUUGAGUGUCCCCCUUUUAAGGGGAAAGUUCUGGUUCGAGUCCAGGUGUUUUCA
rnacentral:tRNA from 1 species